CCCCCUCUGAUGGGUCAGCGCAAAGCUGAACUGAGCUGGCCAUCAAAUCACUCUGCCUCUUUCUGGUUUGCCGAGGCAGACUUUCCCCUGUGAAGGGAACUACAGCUGCUACUGUGGGGUUACUCUGACCAAGCGUCCCUUCACCUCAGGAAGAAUGAGCUUCAUGUGACUUCACGUGGAUGAAGAACAUGUCCAGCAUGAAUUUCCAUUGUUGGCAGGCCACAAUGAUAAAAUUGUGCUAUCAGACCCGUACAGAGCACAUCCUCAUCUGGGUUCCCCUCCAGCAUCAUAGGGUUCCCCUCCAGCAUCAACAGCUGCCACAUCAGCACCUAUGGGAACUCCUACAAGUACUCUAGAAAGGGCGUCAGCAUUUGCAUUUUUCUUUGCCGGAUCAAUACUUCAUGUCGUAAUCAAAGGCUGCCAAUUGUGCCACCCACCUUUGCUCCCUGGCCCCCAACCGGGCACUCUGCAGAGGGGCUACAGGGUUGUUGUCUGUAUAAACUGCCACCUUGGACCCCAUUAGAUAAUCUUUACACUUUUCUGCGAUAGCCCACUUCAAGGCUAGCAGUUCUAAUUUGAAGGAACUAUAGUUAGUGUCAUUCUGCUCACUAGGAAAUAGGUUACAAACACCAUAUCAUGAUGAUAUCAAUAUUAGAGAGAAUAAUUGAAUUGAAAUUUUGCGUUGCACUCUAGUAAGUAAACACUCCCCAGUACACAGUGUGUUCUUAACCUGUGAUGUCAUAAUGUGGACUCUGCUAUGACCUAUUAGUUUGAAGGCACAUAUUUACAUGUCACCUAUAGCUUUUGUUUUCUGUUCAUGUUUUACAGAAAAGAUAAGAUUUAAGAUCAAUUUCAUCAAGUCUAUUACGAGAGUGACUACACAAUUUAACAUUUGCACAAGAAACCGUUAUUUAGGUGUAAGAAUUCAUGCACACCAGGGGUGCCUUUCCAAAAGUGUGGCUGAACAGCUACCAUCAUCACUUUGAAUUCGCUCUCUCUUGGUAGGUGUUCAAUGAUGCUUUUGGGAGACGCAGUCCAGGACCACAAGGCACACAACCACCAACGACUCCUUGGAUCGUUUGCAUUGGCCUUUGGGCGAUUAGAUAUGGCUAGUUCUUGGAAACAAUGCUGCACUGUCAAAUCCCCAUGAAUUAAACCACCAUAGAGAACUGCCCAUUGUAACAAACGGGCAAAAUAUAUCAAAUAAAUAUGGACUAAACCUGCUUCAACAACUAAACUAAAAUAUAUCAAAUAGACAUGAACUAAACCUGCUUCAACAACCAAACCACAAUAACUAGUAUACCCGUCUGCAUAACACAGC
ensembl:lncRNA